rnacentral:rRNA from 1 species
UAUGGAGGAUGUGAGCGUUAUCCGGAUUUAUUGGGUUUAAAGGGUGCGCAGGUUGUUUGAUAAGUCAGUGGUGAAAGUCUGUCGCUUAACGGUAGGAUUGCCAUUGAUACUGUUGGACUUGAAUAUGGGUGAGGUAGGCGGAAUGUGUAGUGUAGCGGUGAAAUGCAUAGAUAUUACACAGAACACCGAUUGCGAAGGCAGCUUACUAAUCCAUCAUUGACGCUGAGGCACGAAAGCGUGGGGAUCAAACAGGA